rnacentral:rRNA from 1 species
UUUCCCUACGGGGGGCAGCAGUAGGGAAUUCUCGUCAAUGGGCGCAAGCCUGAACGAGCAAUGCCGCGUGAACGAGGAAGGUCUUCGGAUCGUAAAGUUCUGUUGAAGGGGAAAAAGAGCGGAGAGAGGAAAUGCUUUCUGAUUGAUAUUACCCUUCGAGGAAGUCACGGCUAACUACGUGCCAGCAGCCGCGGUAAUACGUAGGUGGCGAGCGUUGUCCGGAUUUAUUGGGCGUAAAGCGAGUGCAGGCGGUUCAAUAAGU